rnacentral:lncRNA from 1 species
UUCGGCUCUGUGUGAAAUUUGUAUAAGAUAUUGGGAGUCAUCACCCUAUAUAAUAAAAGUUAUAAUUUAGUGUAAUUUCAAUUUUGAGAACCUUAUUUCCAAGUGUAGUCUUAUGUAUUUGGAUGAAAGAUCCCUUUUUACUUGGAAUAGUGAGUGUGAUGAUGCAGUUGUGGUGAAAACUUAGAAGAUGGAUUAGGAAUGUCCUAUUUGAAAUUGUUCUUCAGGCUAUGUGUGAAAAAAUUCUUUUGAUUUUGUCUGUAUUUAUUUGGUUGAGGUGGGUUUUUGGUGGAGCAACGGGAGAAGUAGAACUAUGCCUUAUUGUACUUACUAUGGAUCAUAUCGUUGUUCGUGAAUUUUGUGGAAUAUGAUUUCUCAGUUUUAAUUUGCCUCUUAGCCCGUUCCUUACCAAAAAUCGAUCUGAAGACUCAAGAUAAACGAUACCGACAAUAAGGAAGAUUCUGAUCGAUCUAAUUACAUCCAUUAGUACCUUUUUCUUUGUUUUGACAAAGAUAUUCCAAAUUUUCUGUUGAUUUCUAUCAAUUAUUCUAGUUCUAUGAUAUUGAAAAACAUUUUAAAAUGUACUCGACGAACUUCUUCGUAUUAACUAUCGUCAUUAAUUAGCAUUCGUUUAAAGUGAAAAUAAGGGGAACCAGAAAGGGCACUCCAUAGAGUGCAAACCUCCCCUAAAAUAAUUUUUCCUAAAAAUUAACAUCCAUUUAAAUGGUUAAUUUGUUGUUAAAGGUUUUGCAAUGUUAAGCAUUUUUUGAUCUUAUGCUGUAUAUAAUGUGACUUUAUUAUACUUACAUAACGACAAAAAUUUCAGUGAUGUAUUUCAAUUUGUUCGAAAGUUAAUUAUGCAAUUUUAACGUUUUGUGUGACUUUGCCCUCUCAAAAUUCUAUAGUCUCUUAAAAAAUCAAACAUAUAUUUUAAAAU